rnacentral:rRNA from 1 species
GAUGAACGCUGGCGGCGUGCCUAAUACAUGCAAGUCGAGCGAACGGACGAGAAGCUUGCUUCUCUGAUGUUAGCGGCGGACGGGUGAGUAACACGUGGAUAACCUACCUAUAAGACUGGGAUAACUUCGGGAAACCGUAGCUAAUACCGGAUAAUAUUUUGAACCGCAUGGUUCAAAAGUGAAAGACGGUCUUGCUGUCACUUAUAGAUGGAUCCGCGCUGCAUUAGCUAGUUGGUAAGGUAACGGCUUACCAAGGCAACGAUGCAUAGCCGACCUGAGAGGGUGAUCGGCCACACGAGAACUGAGACACGGUCCAGACUCCUACGGGAGGCAGCAGUAGGGAAUCUUCCGCAAUGGGCGAAAGCCUGACGGAGCAACGCCGCGUGAGUGAUGAAGGUCUUCGGAUCGUAAAACUCUGUUAUUAGGGAAGAACAUAUGUGUAAGUAACUGUGCACAUCUUGACGGUACCUAAUCAGAAAGCCACGGCUAACUACGUG